GAGCGCCGACAGGACGCCGCCCGCGCUGGGAUCGCAGUCCCCUUGAAGCCUUUAGUCGGAGGCCAGGACGCGUCAGCUGCAGGAACUCUAAUGCGAACCCCGCAUGUGGGAGGAGUCACACCACAAGGAAGAUAGCAAAUAGCCUAACAGUGCCUGCCACCAGAAGCAGCAGUCCCAGGAUGUCCACUCACUCUACAGUUUCCAGAGGGUGCAGUCCUGGGCCAGGCCAGCCCCCUGCAGGAUGGACACAGGAAGGAGGCCCAGCGGGAAAGGGGCAAAGCCUUCCCAGAAAAGGUUUGCUGCCCGCUGGUGUAGUGCAAGAUCUACCAUGCUCCCCAGCUGCUGGGAAUAUUGGUGGCUAUGGGCUCAGGGAUGCCCAUUUCUCUGGUGAUUUCCCUGGGCUGUUUAGGGGACACCUAGCCAGAGAGUUCCUUUGUGUUGCCCUCAGCCAACUGAUGCUAUUAUAAACAGAAUUAUCUUUUUUUUUUCCUUUUUCUAGACAGAAUUAUCUUUUAAUUUCACUUCGAAUUGUUGGUAGCUAGUGUAUAGAGAAACAAUUGAUUUUUAUAUUGAUUUUGUAUACUGUAAACUUCUUGAGUUCUUUUGUUAGCUCUAAUGAAUUUUUAGUAGAUUCAUUAAGAUUUUCUGUAUAAAGUUUAUGUCAUCUGCACAUAGAGAUAGUUUUACUUCUUCCUUUCAAUCAGAUGGCAUUUUACUUUUUGUUCUUGCCUCAUUGCCCUGGCUGGAACCUCAUGUUGAAUAUGUUGAAUGGGAGCAGCAAGAACAAACAUCCUUCCCUUAUUCCUGAUGUUAGGAGGAAAGCUUUCAGUCUUUCAACAUUAACGAUGAUGUUGGGCGUGUUUUUUGUAAAUGCCCUUUGUUUCUCUCUCUCUCUCUCUCUC